CCUACGGGGGGCAGCAGUGGGGAAUAUUGCACAAUGGGGGAAACCCUGAUGCAGCGACGCCGCGUGGGUGAAGAAGGAUUUCGGUAUGUAAAGCUCUAUCGGCAGAGAAGAUAAUGACGGUACCUGAUUAAGAAGCACCGGCUAACUACGUGCCAGCAGCCGCGGUAAUACGUAGGGUGCAAGCGUUAUCCGGAUUCACUGGGCGUAAAGAGAGCGUAGACGGGAGCACAAGUCUGGUGUGAAAUGCCGGGGCUUAACCCUGGAACUGCUUUUGAAACUGUUCAGCUAGAGUGCAGGAGAGGUAAGUGGAAUUCUUGGUGUAGGGGUGAAAUGCGGAGAUAUCAGGAGGAAUACUAGUGGCGAAGGCGGCUUACUAGACUGUAACUGACGUUGAUGCGCGAAAGCGUGGGGAGCAAACAGGAUUAGAUACCCCGGUAGUC
rnacentral:rRNA from 1 species